CCCCUAGAUGUUCUGGGCCGCACGCGCGCUACACUGAACAGUUCAACAAGUCUUAACCUUGGCCGAUAGGUCUGGGUAAUCUUUGAACGCUGUUCGUGAUUGGGAUAGACCUUUGCAAUUAUGGGUCUUCAACGAGGAAUUCCUAGUAAACGCAAGUCAUCAGCUUGCAUUGAUUACGUCCCUGCCCUUUGUACACACCGCCCGUCGCUCCUACCGAUUGAAUGGUCCGGUGAAGCGCUCGGACCGCGGCCUCUUGACGGGUCUCCGUCGAUUGGCUGUGGGAAGUUCGUUAAACCUUAUCAUUUAGAGGAAGGAGAANUCGUAACA
rnacentral:rRNA from 1 species